AGAGUUUGAUCAUGGAUCACGAUGAACGCUAGCGGCAGGCUUAACACAUGCAAGUCGAGGGGUAACAGGGUCUAGUUUACUAGACUGCUGACGACCGGCGCACGGGUGAGUAACGCGUAUACAAUUUGCCUUUUACUGGAGGAUAGCCCAAAGAAAUUUGGAUUAAUACUCCAUAAUAUUGUUUGAUCGCAUGGUUAGACAAUUAAAGUUCCGGCGGUAAGAGAUGAGUAUGCGUCCUAUUAGCUAGUUGGUAAGGUAACGGCUUACCAAGGCGACGAUAGGUAGGGGUCCUGAGAGGGAGAUCCCCCACACUGGUACUGAGACACGGACCAGACUUCUACGGGAGGCAGCAGUGAGGAAUAUUGGUCAAUGGAGGCAACUCUGAACCAGCCAUGCCGCGUGCAGGAAGACUGCCCUAUGGGUUGUAAACUGCUUUUAUACAGGAAGAAACCUUCUCACGUGUGGGGAGCUGACGGUACUGUAAGAAUAAGCACCGGCUAACUCCGUGCCAGCAGCCGCGGUAAUACGGAGGGUGCAAGCGUUAUCCGGAAUCAUUGGGUUUAAAGGGUCCGUAGGCGGGCGAUUAAGUCAGAGGUGAAAUCCCACAGCUUAACUGUGGAACUGCCUUUGAUACUGGUUGUCUUGAGUUACAGUGAAGUAGAUAGAAUAUGUAGUGUAGCGGUGAAAUGCAUAGAUAUUACAUAGAAUACCGAUUGCGAAGGCAGUCUACUAACUGUUUACUGACGCUAAUGGACGAAAGCGUGGGGAGCGAACAGGAUUAGAUACCCUGGUAGUCCACGCCGUAAACGAUGGUCUCUAGUUGUUGGGGCUUUAUGCCUCAGUGAUUAAGCGAAAGUGAUAAGUGACCCACCUGGGGAGUACGAUCGCAAGAUUGAAACUCAAAGGAAUUGACGGGGGCCCGCACAAGCGGUGGAGCAUGUGGUUUAAUUCGAUGAUACGCGAGGAACCUUACCAGGGCUUAAAUGUAAGUUGCAUAGACCAGAGAUGGUCUUUUCUUCGGACUACUUACAAGGUGCUGCAUGGUUGUCGUCAGCUCGUGCCGUGAGGUGUCAGGUUAAGUCCUAUAACGAGCGCAACCCCUACCGUUAGUUGCCAGCAUGUAAAGAUGGGGACUCUAGCGGGACUGCCGGUGCAGACCGAGAGGAAGGUGGGGAUGACGUCAAAUCAUCACGGCCCUUACGUCCUGGGCUACACACGUGCUACAAUGGUCGGUACAGAGGGCAGCCACUACGCGAGUAGGAGCGAAUCCUUAAAGCCGAUCUCAGUUCGGAUCGGAGUCUGCAACUCGACUCCGUGAAGCUGGAAUCUGCUAGUAAUCGUGAUAUCAGCCAUGAUCCGGUGAAUACGUUGCGCCGGGCCUUGUACACACCGCCCGUCAAGCCAUGGAAGCUGGGGGUGCCUGAAGUCGGUGACCGCAAGGAGAUGCCUAGGGUAAAACUAGUAACUGGGGUUAAGUCGUAACAAGGUAACC
rnacentral:rRNA from 1 species